AUUGAACGCUGGCGGCAGGCUUAACACAUGCAAGUCGAGCGGAGAUGAGGUGCUUGCACCUUAUCUUAGCGGCGGACGGGUGAGUAAUGCUUAGGAAUCUGCCUAUUAGUGGGGGACAACAUUCCGAAAGGAAUGCUAAUACCGCAUACGCCCUACGGGGGAAAGCAGGGGAUCUUCGGACCUUGCGCUAAUAGAUGAGCCUAAGUCGGAUUGGCUAGUUGGUGGGGUAAAGGCCUAACAAGGCGACGAUCUGUAGCGGGUCUGAGAGGAUGAGCCGCCACACUGGGACGGAGACACGGCCCAGACUCCUACGGGAGGCAGCAGUGGGGAAUAUUGGACAAUGGGCGGAAGCCUGAUCCAGCCAUGCCGCGUGUGUGAAGAAGGCCUUUUGGUUGUAAAGCACUUUAAGCGAGGAGGAGGCUACCUGGAUUAAUACUCUAGGAUAGUGGACGUUACUCGCAGAAUAAGCACCGGCUAACUCUGUGCCAGCCGCCGCCGUAAAAC
rnacentral:rRNA from 1 species